rnacentral:rRNA from 1 species
GACGAACGCUGGCGGCGUGCUUAACACAUGCAAGUCGAACGGAAAGGCCCUGCUUUUGUGGGGUGCUCGAGUGGCGAACGGGUGAGUAACACGUGAGUAACCUGCCCUUGACUUUGGGAUAACUUCAGGAAACUGGGGCUAAUACCGGAUAGGAGCUCCUGCUGCAUGGUGGGGGUUGGAAAGUUUCGGCGGUUGGGGAUGGACUCGCGGCUUAUCAGCUUGUUGGUGGGGUAGCGGCUUACCAAGGCUUUGACGGGUAGCCGGCCUGAGUGGGUGACCGGCCACAUUGGGACUGAGAUACGGCCCAGACUCCUACGGGAGGCAGCAGUGGGGAAUAUUGCACAAUGGGCGGAAGCCUGAUGCAGCAACGCCGCGUGCGGGAUGACGGCCUUCGGGUUGUAAACCGCUUUCGCCUGUGACGAAGCGUGAGUGACGGUAAUGGGUAAAGAAGCACCGGCUAACUACGUG